rnacentral:rRNA from 1 species
UACCAAGGCGACGAUCAGUAGCCGGACUGAGAGGUCGAUCGGCCACAUUGGGACUGAGACACGGCCCAGACUCCUACGGGAGGCAGCAGUGGGGAAUAUUGCGCAAUGGGGGAAACCCUGACGCAGCAACGCCGCGUGAAGGAAGAAGGAUUUUGGUCUGUAAACUUCUUUAAUCUGUGAAGAAACAAAUGACGGUAGCAGAGGAAUAAGCCCCGGCUAACUACGUGCCAGCAGCCGCGGUAAUACGUAGGGGGCAAGCGUUGUCCGGAAUUACUGGGUGUAAAGGGAGUGUAGGCGGGUAUUUAAGUUAGAUGUGAAACCACGGGCUCAACUUGUGGACUGCAUUUGAAACUGGAUAUCUUGAGUGUGGGAGAGGAAAGUGGAAUUCCUAGUGUAGCGGUGAAAUGCGUAGAUAUC